rnacentral:piRNA from 1 species
UGCUGGUGUCCCACUUUGAUCAGUGAAAU